rnacentral:piRNA from 1 species
UGAUCUUGUCCUGUGUUUACUGAAUGC